ACAGCUGAAGGCACUCCAGCAUGAGCUUGGCUGCACGGUGGCAGCUCUCAAAACGACCAAGUCAGAACUCGAGGUUACUGUUCCGAUGAUCAUGAUAUCAUCAAUGGAGUUUUGUUGUCUCCUGUUCUGAAGUAGUAGCACAAAUCUGACUGUGUUGACAGGAGAAGAAGAAAUUGGGUCAAUAUGCUGCCGUAGAAACCACCCUCAAGGUAUCAUAAUUCGAGCAGUUUCAGUAAAAAAAUCAAGCCGUGAGACGUACUUACUUAUGGUUCUUCAUCGCCGCUGCUGUUUGUUUCACCCUAAUUACCUUCUUGAAGGAGGCGGCGGAUACGGUGGAGACUCUUCCUCGUCAAGUCGGCGAGAAGGCGGCCUGCAACCCCAAGAGGAAACGCACCUCGAGAAUCUACUGUAAUUACGAACCACCGAUUUAUGCCCCGGACGCUCGCAUGCUCUGUUGAUCGCGCAUUUGAGAUCUUCCUAUAGAUGACGGAUAUUUGUGUUUCAGCGUUGGGAUCUGCAUCUGUGGUCCGUGAGGAAAUGGCGACGGAGAAGAAGAUGGGAAGCGGUGGAAGAAGGUCCUGCCUGAUUCAACCUCUCAUCUUCCUUCAACUGGUGGCCAUAUCUGAUCCUCGUUCUGAAACAGGAGAUCCUCCGGCAGGGCUUCGAGCGCGAGAAUUUCCCUAAAAUCGGAACCGCGCGCGCCGAAAGAGGAGCAGCAGCCGUUCGAAUUGAAGGACAACGUGUUACCUACCGCCCCCGCACCCCCCCCGAGGGACGAAGCCCAAAGCACCCGACCAGAUCCGGCGGCUGGUCCAUCCGAUUCGAGAUCCCCUUUCAGAGAGGUGAAGGUCGAAGACGACAGGGAUUUCCGCAGCCCUCCGGAUCCCUCGAAGCGAGAUUCCUCCUCCUCGCAUCCGGUGUCGAUCUCCAGGCGGCCGCAGCGGAGGUCGACGGUCGGCGUCUCCUACAAGGAGAUGUCCCUAAGAGUGAAGAUGCGGAGGUCGUAGCGAUCCGCCAGUUCUUCCCGGAGCGGCAGCCCCCCCUUGGCUUCAGCCACAUCCUGUAACUCUCCUCCAUCUCCGACAUUGAAAUGCCCGACCAGGUAGAGCGGCCUCCUCCUCAUCUGCGGGAUGGGGAGGAAGCAGGAGGAGAGCGCGCCGCCGUCUUGAUGUAUUUUUAUCUUGAUCCCUCCGCGAGUGACACGUGCAACGUGUCCAGGACGGCCCUCGGCGUAGUCUAAUCUUGCGUACGUACGUCGAUGUCGCUGAGAGAGAUAGAGAAAUUAAAUGGGGCCCAC
rnacentral:lncRNA from 1 species